CCAUUAAUACAUUUUUCUACCGUUGGGUGUCACGUCUGACACACCAUGUGAUGGUGUACAGUGCCUACACUUUCAUUUUUCCUCCAAUUGUCCCUCCCACCGACAUAAGAACUCUCUCACCUUUUGGUUGAAACCGACGACAUCCGGCAUAAAUGUUUCCAAACGACCACGAAACCUUCCACACACACAGCCACCGAUUUCAACUGUGGUGACAGUCGCGGCAACGAAGAGUGCGGGAAAAGGGCUCCACGUUGACCGCUUCUUUGCAAUCACUCGCCUGCAAAAAAUCCCCAGUACACAGCUUCUCCACCCAUCGAAAAUGGAGUCUGCAGGAAUACAGGUACUUCCACUUCCUUCGCCUUGUUUCUUGUCCUCAAUUCGUUCAAGCCGCAUUCCAUUUAUUUACAUGGGCAGAAAAGAACUUCAUAAUAAUGACAAAAAAGGACAAAGUUGGCAUUUUGCACAAUUUGAAUUUUAAUGGGAAAAUAAAAUAUUGCAUAGUCCCCACGUCGAUGUGAUGAAAAAAAUACAAUUUGAAAAUUAAUAGAAAACAAACGAGGGCUUAAUAAAUUAUAAAUUUUAACACUUUAUAAUUUAAAUUUUAAAUUAUUCAGAUCACAUUUAAAUUGAUUGAUCAUUAUUCGAACAAAACUCGCAAGUGUACAGAAUUAUUGACAAGCAAUAAUGUGACGAGUUGAUUUAUAGUCCCACGAUGAAUAACUAUUAAUUCUAGAGUACCAGUUUCUACCAAAUUCAAUCUACAUGACACAAAAUAUUUAGAUGUUUUGUAAUUAUUUUAAACUAAAUUAAGAAUACUGUAAAAGAUUGUUUUGUAAAUGAAUGUAUUGAAUUUCAAAAUUCACCUAUUGGUUUCUAUUUCCAAUUCUCGACUUCUGUAAGUUAGUGUUAUUCCGUGUUCGUGACAAUCAAUAAUCCUCUAAUGUCUAAUACUCUUUUUUGAGAUACAUAUUAGACCUAUCCUUAGCACUAUCUAGUUUGAAUUUAUAUGUAAAGCAAGCAUUUAUAUUUUGGAGAGUCAAAUUCACCAUCUAUUCUUAAUUAUCAAUGAUUGCAUUUAAUUAAUUACAAAUUUUAAUACUUUAUAUUUAAAUUAUUCAAAUCACAUUUAAAUUGAUUGAUCAUUGUUCAGACAAAACUCAUAAGCUUACAAGAUCAUUGACAAGUAAUAAAUAAAUUGAGUUAUCGUCGCACGAUGAAUAACUAUUAAUUCUAAAGUGCUAGUUUCUAUCAAAUUCGAUCUAUGUGACACAAAAUAGUUAGAUGUUUUGUAAUUAUUUUAAACAAACUAAUAAAACCUGUAAAAGAUUGUUCUGUAAAUGAAUAUAUUGGAUUUCAGAAUCCACCUAUUGGUUUCUAUUUUCAAUUCUCAAUUUAGGUAAGUUAAUGUUAUUCUCGUGUACAUGGCAAUUAAUAAUCUAGUAAUAUCAAAUAUUCUUUUUCAAAAUAUAUUAAACUUAUCCUUAGCACUACCUUUCCUAUUCCUAGUCUAAACACAUAUAUAAUGCAAGCAUUCAAUCAUACCCGAUUAUCGCACACAAUUGCACAUGCCUUAAAUAUCAUUCAUAAUACCUAGUACCCACGAGUUAAAUAUGCAGUAUUUUACUUAUUGUGAGUCUCUCAACAUUAUGAAUAAGCAAUAGGUUUUCUAAUUGGUAGCUUAGCAAUCAAUUAAAACAAUAUUCAUGCAUACUUAAUCACAAACACGAUAAAUAAUUAAAAUACGAAAAAUCUUAAAUUAGAAAUAUAACAUAAGAAAUUCCAUCAUUCAUUCAAUACACAAGAAAGGUUUAGUCUAAUAUAAUUGUAUCUAAGUUACACAAGAAGUUAAGAGACAUUACCCAAUUCAAAUAAUGGAUGUAGAAAUUUGAGAAAUCAAUUUCUUUUACUUUCUUUCGAUUUGUGCAUUGAAUCUUCAAUUCCUUUUGUUAAUUCUGUCUAAAGCUCGUGUUAGAGUUGCUUCAAUGAUAGGAUAAGUGAUGAUAGUUUCAAAGUACGUUCUAGACGACUCUUUCUCGAUUAAAAAGGUGUAAAAAUAUCAUACUAUAAAGAAUCGAAGUAAGAAAAAGGAAAGAAAAUAUUUCUCAGCCGGAAAGCCAUGCGUACGCAUGGUAUAUGACAUGUCUAUGUAUAGUAGAGUGAUUUUAGCUUCAGUCAUCCUAUAAUGGGGGCUCUUGUAUGCACAGCUUGCAAGCCAAUGCGUACGCAUAGUUUUUCAUUUUGGAGCCAAUUGUGCAAAUUGGUACCUGAACUUUUUGCAAUGAAUUUUUUUAUCCUUUUCACUUGUGAUUUCAUCCAUUUAAUGUCUUCAAUUGAGUUUGUAGCAUCUUCACUCUUCAUUUUAUGUCUCGAUGCAACGAUUGAAAUGUUGCAAUUUAGUUCCCAUAGUUUUAAUUUUGUUAUUCUUCUUUAUUUUUAGCUUGUUUUCUCUAAUUUUUCAUAAAAUCAGGAGUUUUAUCUAAUAAACACAAAUUAAACUAUAUUUUAUCAAAAGAACUACAAAAUGUCAUUAUUUAUAACCCCAAAUAAGCGUAUGAAUCACACUUAUAAAUCAUUAAUUUAUAAAAGAGGUGAUGAGAAAUCAAAAAAUAUUUAAUGGAAAAAAACAAAAUAAAGAGAGUAUUAUUAGAGUGUAUAGAAAAAUUUAUUCUAUAAGUUUAAAUAUACUCUAUUAUACAUAAAAUGUUCUUUAUAAAUAGAGAGUCUUGUGAAAAUUCUCUAAUACUAGAAUUAGUACAUAGAAAGAUAUAGUACAUAUUGCAAAUUGAAAUCUCAAGAGGCAAAUGGGCCCAAAGAGAAAGAUUUUGACUCAAUACUAUUGAUGUAUUUUUCACAUAAUGUCGAACUUUUUUCCAUUAAUGGGUAUAUAUGAUUUUUUUUUAAUUUUUUUGCUCUAAAACUUGUGUAGUGUGAAAGUUUGACAGCUUAUGAGUCAAACGGGCCCAAAUAGGAAGACAAAUGGAUAAGGUAGGCCUAGCCAUGAUACUCAUAAAAUAUUUCCAUCCAUACUAGUAACAAGAUGGCAAAGCUAAUAUAAAUUGGUUCAACAUAUUUUUCAUUCACAUAUUUCAUAAGAUUCACAACUUAUUAACAUUUAAAAACAUUAAUAAACAUGCUCUAUAAGCAAGUUUGUGAGUUAUUUAUUAAAGGAUUCAAGUAUUAAUAAAUAAAAAUGAGUGGAAAAGUGGAGAAGAAUUUAUUAACCACAAAAUAUGAAUAUAGAAAGUGAUAUGAUCAAUUAUAACACAUAAGCCAAACAAUGGUUAAAUGGAUGGAACCUAGAAACAUAUAAUUGUUUUCAAAAGGUGAUUUCAUCAAGAAACAUAAAAUUGAUAGUGCUUUAAUUUCUAUUCCCAUCAAACCAUGUUUAGAUCCCGAGUAUCUAUUGUUUCGACCUUGACAUUUGGUGUGUUCUUCCACUUCCUUUGGUGGUGGCUCAAAGUUACUGAGAUACUACAAAGUGCGCUCUCUCUCCAAUUUUCACUCUCGCUCGAUAUUUAAUUUUGAAAAUUGGGGUUUUAUCCCUUUUUUUGUGUAGCUUGUUUUUGUCCACAAAAUUCAUUUGCUGCUUUUGACGAUUCAACUUGCUAAGUUUUUUCUUGAAGAUUUUUCAAGAAUAAAUCAUGGAUACUACUAUUUACAUCCACAAUUUUUAAAUAUAUAUAUCCACUUUUAAAAAAAUAAUUAUAUUAAGUUUUUUAUCUUAUGUAAAUUUACAUAAGUAGACAUAUAUAAAGUUAAAUAAAAAUAUAUUGUUCUAAAUUUAUCCACUAACGUUUAUUUUCAUAAAUUCUUUUAAACAUUUAUAUAUUCUUAUAGAGUUUGUGAUUAACUAAACUUCUAAUAAUCAUAUAUAAAAUAUCAUCUUUAAUUACAAUCAUAAAACCCUAAUCAUAAAACAUCAUCUUCAAUGGAAAUUUAAAAAAAUAAAUAAAAAAAAUCAACACAUUAUUUGAGUUAUAAUUUGUUCAUGAUAUGAAAACUGGAAUUUUAUUUUUUAUACUUUUUUAAAAUAUUGAUUUGAUAGAUGAAAACAUACGAGAAAUUUCAAAAUAUGUUUCAAUACCUAUCCAAAUAUUCUUCUAUUAUAAAAGGAAACAAAUUUAAAAUUAUCAACUGAAACACAAAAAGCCAAAUUAUGAGCUUAUAAGCAAAAAUAAUAAUUAAUAUAUGAUUCGAUGAGGGAUUCGUUUUGUUUGUGCAGUAUACUCUUGAGAGAAUCCUAUAACUUUAAGAAAAGAGAUUUGCUAACUUUUAUAACUAAAUAUUAAAGCACCAACAUGACAAUAUAGAAAAUAAAAAAUAAGAAUAAGAUUAAAUGUUGAUAGUGAUUUUCAAAAUUGAAUUAGAAAUGUAUUCAUAGUGGGAUGAAUAAAUAAAAUUUGUAUGAAUAUAUAAUGUUUAAAUGAAUGAAUUUAACAAGGACAAUAUUGAAAUUUGAAGUGUAUGAAAAUAGUAAUUUUUUAUAUUUUAAUAGGGGUGUAUAUAGAGUGGGAUGCAUAUAUAAAAACUGCGAAUGAAAAUAAUGGUACCCUAAAUCAUUUGACACUUGGUGAUCAAGUUGAAACUUAUAUUUUUUAUAUACUUCUCUAAUAAAGAAUUUGAAGGAUUGGAUGUCCUUAAAUGUUCUUUGGGAGAAGUUAGUUAUUACGAAGAAAAGUAGAGUAUAUCCAUUUGUUAACAAGCAUUUGACUUUGGAACUACUUCUUCUGGUUGUUAUUUCUGAAAGAGUAUUUCUUGCAAAUGAACGUUGUAAGGAAUGAAUAUCACCAUUGAAUUGGAAAUCAAUUGAUGAAUAACAGUCACAUUGUUUAUGUUGAGAAUUAAAUAUUUUUAAAAAUUGAUAAUGAAAUCAUUUUACAAAGGAAUCGGAGUAUGAAAACUCAUAAAGAACGAUUGUCAGAUAUGUCAUUUUAGUAUUGUUGUGCACUUGUACUUUUAUUCUUUUGAUUUUUCUACCUUCAUUAAAUACAAGCUCAUAUAUUUUGUCACAUUUUUUAUGAGAUGGUAGUUGAAUUGAGUAGCUUUUAGAACCUUUUGAUCUGUUGAGUCGAGCCAUAAUUAGUUUGUAUGACUUGUGUAAUUCACGCAGUCAUUAUCUUUUGCGGACACAUGUUCAUAGUAAUCAAGGUAUUUUGUGUGUCAUGUACAUAAACAUAUGGGACUUGUUGCAUUUUCUGUGGAUUCAUGAAUAUUCGUGUUAAUUUUAUAAAAAAUUUCUAGGGGGUUUAUUCAACCAAUAAAUGGAAAUAGCUAUUUAUUAACCUGGGUUGCUUUCUUUUUCUAAUUUUUGAUGGCCAACUUGCUGUUUUGGUAGAUAACUAUCUGGAAAAAAUGUAUCAUUCCGGCGGCUGAUGCUUCUAUAUGGCAGCCAAAGAAAAUCCUCAAAAUUUUAUGUUUUGAAAACUCCAAUUCCAGUAGCUUUUUUCUUCGUUGGUGGCGGCAGAUUUCCUUGAACUUUUGGUAGAGAAACUGCCUGAAAAAAUUAUAUUUUUCCCGAUGGUUUUUGGGAUGUGGUAAUAUGGUUAAUGUAUUGAUUUCCAUAGACGAUAUCAAUCUAUUGACUCCAAAAAAUAUCACCAACAGAUAUGUUAGGU
rnacentral:lncRNA from 1 species